rnacentral:rRNA from 1 species
AUACGGAGGGUGCAAGCGUUAAUCGGAAUUACUGGGCGUAAAGCGCGCGUAGGCGGCUUAUUAAGUCAGAUGUGAAAUCCCCGGGCUCAACCUGGGAACUGCAUCUGAUACUGGUAAGCUAGAGUUUUGGAGAGGGAAGUAGAAUUUCAGGUGUAGCGGUGAAAUGCAUAGAGAUCUGAAGGAAUACCAGUGGCGAAGGCGACUUCCUGGCCAAAAACUGACGCUGAGGUGCGAAAGCGUGGGUAGCAAACGGGAUUAGAUACCCUAGUAGUCC